GCAAUUUAGAGGUGCACCAAAUCUUCAGUGCAAGUCAUGUACACACUUUUUAUUAUAUCAUUCUGAGUAAAUGCAGCUGUCCCGGGAUGCCGUUGCUAGUUCCUAAAAUCAUUUCGCAGUCAUUAAUUUUCUUCGAACCUUUAUCACCCACUCAAAGAAGUUUUCAGACCUUCAGUCAAGGAUGAGAAAAGGAGCCCUGGAGUGCAGGUAGCAGAGUUCUCAGCAGUAUGCUCUUAAGGGUCCUCCAGAGUCCAACCCCAAAGUUACUGAAGAGGAGAACCUAGACUACUGAAAGGAAAAGAAAGAAACUAUUCAUUCCAUGAAAAGAC